rnacentral:SRP_RNA from 1 species
CGCUGCUGGCGCAGGUGGAAGCGAAGGCCGGGCUGAAGUCGACGCCGAAAAUUUGGGGAGGCGGUCAGAAGACGACGCCUGUCAGGAGUUGGGGCUCAGGGAAGCAAGCGAGCAGUUCCAGUAGCACCGGCUCCACUCAGGCAGCGGCUCCGUGGAAUAAAU